rnacentral:lncRNA from 1 species
GGAGGGAGCAGGAGGGAAGAGGAAGGGAACUAAAAAAGCAAACUGUAGUAUGUGCAUGUAUGCACUCCCCAAGAUGACUAUAACUGGCAUGAGCUGCAAAUAUGUACUAAUAAAAAGCAAAACCAGAUAGAAAAGCAGGAGUAAUGGAAAGAUUGGGUAGUUCGAUUAAGGGAACAGAGUUACUGUAGGAAACGAGCCAAUAAGUUAACAAAUGAUCAUGUUCAUUAUAAAAAAGGCAGAAAAUGCUAUGAAGAGAAUGUUGCAUUCAUAUUUAUCACUUUUUUCCUGUUUCAUCACUCAGCCCUGUAGUGAUUGACUCUGAGUCUGAUGAUGAGUAUGCUCAUGAAGAAAAGAAAAUAAAGAUUUAUGAAAUAAAUAGUCAAGAUGAGGUUUUGGCAGUAAUUUCUGAUACUGAGGAGGAAGACAAAGAGGAGGAGGAAGAGUUGGAAGUGGAGGAGGUAGAAAUGGAAGAGCCUACCACCAACACCCAGAAGUCUCCAGUAGUAAUUGUUAUUGAUGAUGAUGAUGAUGAUGAUGAUGGCAACAAUAAGAAGUGGGAAAUUCCUGAGCUAAAAGAAGGGGAUUCCCAUAAUUACAGCCAAAUUUAUUCAUAUAAAAGGGAAGUGCAUGAGUCUGUUGCCUCCCAACAAAAUUCACCUGAUAAUGUUCCACUGGGUAAUGAUCCUGAGGCUAACCUAGAAAUUAUAGAUCAAGAGUUGCCAACUACUGACAAGCUCAUAUCUGUGACGGAACAACCGAGGAAAAGGAAAACCAGUAAAACAUGUGUGGCACCUGCUGAUAGUGGACGAAAAAACCAAGCAUCUUCAGAGAAGAAAGCCAGUGCAGCAAAAGCUGACAAGUGCAAGACUGGGUAUGUACUGCUCACGGCCAAAGGGAUAAAGGCCAAAGGGAU